rnacentral:piRNA from 1 species
UGCCCGAUGAGAAGUGCAGAUAAUCCUAGAAU